UACGGGGGGAGCAAGCGUUGUUCGGAUUUACUGGGCGGAAAGGGCGCGUAGGCGGUCAGCACAAGUCAGUUGUGAAAUCUCCGGGCUUAACCCGGAAAGGUCAACUGAUACUGUGCGACUAGAGUGCGGAAGGGGCAACUGGAAUUCUUGGUGUAGCGGUGAAAUGCGUAGAUAUCAAGAGGAACACCAAUUGCGAAGGCAGCUCGCUGGGACGUUACUGACGCUGAGACGCGAAAGCGUGGGGAGCAAACAGG
rnacentral:rRNA from 1 species